rnacentral:rRNA from 1 species
GACGAACGCUGGCGGCGUGCCUAAUACAUGCAAGUAGAACGCUGAAGAGAGGAGCUUGCUCUUCUUGGAUGAGUUGCGAACGGGUGAGUAACGCGUAGGUAACCUGCCUUGUAGCAGGGGAUAACUAUUGGAAACGAUAGCUAAUACCGCAUAACAAUGGAUGACACAUGUCAUUUAUUUGAAAGGGGCAAUUGCUCCACUACAAGAUGGACCUGCGUUGUAUUAGCUAGUAGGUGAGGUAAUGGCUCACCUAGGCGACGAUACAUAGCCGACCUGAGAGGGUGAUCGGCCACACUGGGACUGAGACACGGCCCAGACUCCUACGGGAGGCAGCAGUAGGGAAUCUUCGGCAAUGGGGGCAACCCUGACCGAGCAACGCCGCGUGAGUGAAGAAGGUUUUCGGAUCGUAAAGUUCUGUUGUAAGUCAAGAACGGGUGUGAGAGUGGAAAGUUCACACUGUGACGGUAGCUUACCAGAAAGGGACGGCUAACUACGUG